CCCUACGGGGGGCAGCAGUAGGGAAUCUUCCACAAUGGGCGAAAGCCUGAUGGAGCAACGCCGCGUGGGUGAAGAAGGUCUUCGGAUCGUAAAACCCUGUUGUUAGAGAAGAAAGUGCAUGAGAGUAACUGUUCACGUUUCGACGGUAUCUAACCAGAAAGCCACGGCUAACUACGUGCCAGCAGCCGCGGUAAUACGUAGGUGGCAAGCGUUAUCCGGAUUUAUUGGGCGUAAAGGGAACGCAGGCGGUCUUUUAAGUCUGAUGUGAAAGCCUUCGGCUUAACCGGAGUAGUGCAUUGGAAACU
rnacentral:rRNA from 1 species